rnacentral:lncRNA from 8 species
UUCCACGUUGAAAUGAUGUGGUGUGCCCAGUGUGUUGCCACUAUCCCCAAUGACAACACUGAGGUUUGUGACAUCCAAGAGACAUCAAAGCCAAAGCUGUCCAUAGUUGACACCCUUUCCUGCGCAGAAGUCAAAGCUGACCAGCCACAACCGACUUUCUGUCCCAUGGCAUCGAUGAAGUGGAGGAGGACAAACCACAUGAACUUCUGUGUUAAAACAAUAUUACGUGAGCAGAGCACUUUCUGACAAACCAGAGGUGGAUACGGCUGUGGAUCCCCUCACAAUGAGUGAGUUUUCCGGAAGAAUUGUGCCUAGGUGUGGAUUGAUUAAGGUCAUUCUGUUACAAAAUGUUUUUACAACAGAAACCGUUUACUAAAAACGGAAAAAGAUUUGCCACGAAUACGAGAGAUUCUAUUGGACAAAUUCAGGUUGGUCCCUCCCCGUUUGGUUCCUAUUGCUCUGUUUGCUUCCGUUUGGUUCUUAAACGGUAAACGGUUUCUGUUGCGAGACGUAAUGAUUACACCCCAGGAGAGAGAUGUGCAAAAAUAUGUUACAGUCAGACAGUAUAGUGAAGAUGGAUCUAUGGGCAGGUCCAGAUGACAUAAAUGUACCAACACACCACAUGUUGUAUUAAAAACACUUUAUUUUUGUACUUAUUAGGCAAAGAUAAGAAGUCUUGUAAGAGGGGUAUGAGUCACCUGCGGCUGUGUGGCCUCCAGACAGGAAAGAGAGAAAGAGGAGCAGAAUCCCACCAUUUCCCAUCCUUAAAAAAAAAAAAAAAAUCCUAUUAAUUCUAUUUUUGCUGUUGAUUGUUGAUCAUGAAUCAAGAAUUUAUUCUAUUAAUAGUUGUUUUGUUUAAAUAAAUUAUUGCAUUCCAAAGUUUGUCUUUUAGUUGUCAUUUUCCCCAAAAUAUAAGAGGUGGCUAGAGCUCAGAUAUGAGCAUGUGCACUCCAUGACAUCUGCUCAUUGGUGGACAUGAAAACACAACUGAACUUGAUCGCACAUGGCAACAACAUCCCCAUGGGGUUGUUCUGUCAUGAACACAUCCUAUCAACAGAUGGAGCCAUUGACCUAAACUCUGUGGUAGCUUUUAUUUACCCCUGAACU